rnacentral:rRNA from 1 species
UUAAGCGACUAAGCGUACACGGUGGAUGCCCUGGCAGUCAGAGGCGAUGAAGGACGUGCUAAUCUGCGAAAAGCGUCGGUAAGGUGAUAUGAACCGUUACAGCCGGCGAUGUCCGAAUGGGGAAACCCAGUGCAAUUCGUUGCACUAUCGUUAACUGAAUACAUAGGUUAACGAGGCGAACCGGGGGAACUGAAACAUCUAAGUACCCCGAGGAAAAGAAAUCAACCGAGAUUCCCCCAGUAGCGGCGAGCGAACGGGGAGCAGCCCAGAGUCUGAAUCAGCUUGUGUGUUAGUGGAACGGUCUGGAAAGUCCGACGGUACAGGGUGAUAGUCCCGUACACCAAAAUGCACAGGNUGUGAACUCGAAGAGUAGGGCGGGACACGUGGUAUCCUGUCUGAAUAUGGGGGGACCAUCCUCCAAGGCUAAAUACUCCUGACUGACCGAUAGUGAACCAGUACCGUGAGGGAAAGGCGAAAAGAACCCCGGCGAGGGGAGUGAAAAAGAACCUGAAACCGUGUACGUACAAGCAGUGGGAGCACCUUCGGGUGUGACUGCGUACCUUUUGUAUAAUGGGUCAGCGACUUAUAUUCUGUAGCAAGGUUAACCGUAUAGGGGAGCCGCAGGGAAACCGAGUCUUAACUGGGCGUUAAGUUGCAGGGUAUAGACCCGAAACCCGGUGAUCUAGCCAUGGGCAGGUUGAAGGUUGGGUAACACUAACUGGAGGACCGAACCGACUAAUGUUGAAAAAUUAGCGGAUGACUUGUGGCUGGGGGUGAAAGGCCAAUCAAACCGGGAGAUAGCUGGUUCUCCCCGAAAGCUAUUUAGGUAGCGCCUCGUGAACUCAUCUUCGGGGGUAGAGCACUGUUUCGGCUAGGGGGUCAUCCCGACUUACCAACCCGAUGCAAACUACGAAUACCGAAGAAUGUUAUCACGGGAGACACACGGCGGGUGCUAACGUCCGUCGUGAAGAGGGAAACAACCCAGACCGCCAGCUAAGGUCCCAAAGUCAUGGUUAAGUGGGAAACGAUGUGGGAAGGCACAGACAGCCAGGAUGUUGGCUUAGAAGCAGCCAUCAUUUAAAGAAAGCGUAAUAGCUCACUGGUCGAGUCGGCCUGCGCGGAAGAUGUAACGGGGCUAAACCAUGCACCGAAGCUGCGGCAGCGACACUAUGUGUUGUUGGGUAGGGGAGCGUUCUGUAAGCCUGCGAAGGUGUGCUGUGAGGCAUGCUGGAGGUAUCAGAAGUGCGAAUGCUGACAUAAGUAACGAUAAAGCGGGUGAAAAGCCCGCUCGCCGGAAGACCAAGGGUUCCUGUCCAACGUUAAUCGGGGCAGGGUGAGUCGACCCCUAAGGCGAGGCCGAAAGGCGUAGUCGAUGGGAAACAGGUUAAUAUUCCUGUACUUGGUGUUACUGCGAAGGGGGGACGGAGAAGGCUAUGUUAGCCGGGCGACGGUUGUCCCGGUUUAAGCAUGUAGGCUGGUUAUCCAGGCAAAUCCGGAUAANCAAGGCUGAGGUGUGAUGACGAGGCACUACGGUGCUGAAGUAACAAAUGCCCUGCUUCCAGGAAAAGCCUCUAAGCAUCAGGUAACAUCAAAUCGUACCCCAAACCGACACAGGUGGUCAGGUAGAGAAUACCAAGGCGCUUGAGAGAACUCGGGUGAAGGAACUAGGCAAAAUGGUGCCGUAACUUCGGGAGAAGGCACGCUGGUGUGUAGGUGAAGUCCCUGCGGAUGGAGCUGAGACCAGUCGAAGAUACCAGCUGGCUGCAACUGUUUAUUAAAAACACAGCACUGUGCAAACACGAAAGUGGACGUAUACGGUGUGACGCCUGCCCGGUGCCGGAAGGUUAAUUGAUGGGGUUAUCCGUAAGGAGAAGCUCUUGAUCGAAGCCCCGGUAAACGGCGGCCGUAACUAUAACGGUCCUAAGGUAGCGAAAUUCCUUGUCGGGUAAGUUCCGACCUGCACGAAUGGCGUAAUGAUGGCCAGGCUGUCUCCACCCGAGACUCAGUGAAAUUGAACUCGCUGUGAAGAUGCAGUGUACCCGCGGCAAGACGGAAAGACCCCGUGAACCUUUACUAUAGCUUGACACUGAACAUUGAGCCUUGAUGUGUAGGAUAGGUGGGAGGCUUUGAAGCGUGGACGCCAGUCUGCGUGGAGCCAACCUUGAAAUACCACCCUUUAAUGUUUGAUGUUCUAACGUUGGCCCCUGACCGGGGUUGCGGACAGUGUCUGGUGGGUAGUUUGACUGGGGCGGUCUCCUCCCAAAGCGUAACGGAGGAGCACGAAGGUUAGCUAAUCCUGGUCGGACAUCAGGAGGUUAGUGCAAUGGCAUAAGCUAGCUUGACUGCGAGCGUGACGGCGCGAGCAGGUGCGAAAGCAGGUCAUAGUGAUCCGGUGGUUCUGAAUGGAAGGGCCAUCGCUCAACGGAUAAAAGGUACUCCGGGGAUAACAGGCUGAUACCGCCCAAGAGUUCAUAUCGACGGCGGUGUUUGGCACCUCGAUGUCGGCUCAUCACAUCCUGGGGCUGAAGUAGGUCCCAAGGGUAUGGCUGUUCGCCAUUUAAAGUGGUACGCGAGCUGGGUUUAGAACGUCGUGAGACAGUUCGGUCCCUAUCUGCCGUGGGCGCUGGAGAAUUGAGGGGGGCUGCUCCUAGUACGAGAGGACCGGAGUGGACGCAUCACUGGUGUUCGGGUUGUCAUGCCAAUGGCACUGCCCGGUAGCUAAAUGCGGAAGAGAUAAGUGCUGAAAGCAUCUAAGCACGAAACUUGCCCCGAGAUGAGUUCUCCCUGAGACUUUAAGUCUCCUGAAGGAACGUUGAAGACGACGACGUUGAUAGGCCGGGUGUGUAAGCGCAGCGAUGCGUUGAGCUAACCGGUACUAAUGAACCGUGAGGCUUAACCUU